UUUUUAAUUCCUCCUGUUUGUGGGCUUGAUUAAGCCCUCUAAUGUUCCAAGUAGUAAUAAUCGUGAAGUAUCAGAUCUAAUACUCCAAGAAGGUCCUGGCUCCACUUGGUAUCCACUGCUAUCAUCAGCCAUAAGUAUUGCUAUAGCCUUUCCUUUGUCUGCAUUUGCAUUCAUGCCUUCAAUGAUUGCAGGAGGAUCCCCUGAA
rnacentral:lncRNA from 1 species